ACAACUACAACAUCACUACCUCUUUAUUUUUAUAUAUGUCAAGGAAGCUUGUGUGGUUAAAUGGCCUAGAAGGACAAAUCCAUAGCCUUGUGGUUGAAGAUUGACUAGAAGAUGUUUUCUUUCCUAAUGUUAUCUUGAGUGCCAUUAGGUCAAACCUAAUCUAUCACCCAAUUUCUGGUACUUGAUGCAUACACAGAUUUUGAAAUGUUAAUAUAUUGGAUUAAUAUAGCUGAAGUUAUUUGGUAACAUUUGGAGGUCAGGGUUUUUUUUUUUUUAAGAGACUGAAUUUAGGUCAUAUGAGUACUAUUUUCUCUCUCUCUUUCUACCAGCCACCUUUGUCUGAAUGUUUUUCAAUGCUGUUAGAACCUUCUGGUUCAGCAUCAGACUGAUACGGAGUUUAGCUUUUAGUAUGGAUAUAAUAAAAAUCCAAAAUAGAUGAUUUGUUUUUAAUAGAAGUCACAAUUUUCUAACCACCAACACUAAACUCACAGGUCUGAAAACAUUCUUUCUGCUUCUUAAUGAAUUGACGUAAAAAUGUAUUGACAGUUUUGAGGGAGAUGACAGAAUAGGAAUCUUUCAUUCCUUUGAAAAAGCCUGUGUUUCUUGUUAUUCUUUUGGAGUUGAUAAGUAAAAAUAAGUAGGCAUAACUUGAAGUCACUCAGUGGUGUGCAUAUGUUGAGGUAAAAAUGUUCUUGAUGUAAUUCUACUUACAAUCCAUACUUUAAUUUUCUCUCAUGUACUAAGAUGUUUUUUUUUACUGUCCAUCUUCAUGCCUUAAAUCACCUUUUAGAUGUGCCUCUUGUGCUAGCUACAUUUCUUUUCUUUCCUUACUUUGCAUUCCUGAGCAUCAUCUGCUGAAACCUAACACAUACUUUCUGACCCUGCACGAUCAAUUGUUAGCAGAACAGCAUUUUCGUCCUGUUCUUAUUCUUACACUUAAGUAAGAGCUAGACUGUGUUAGUAGGCCAUCUCUUCACCUUCUAUAUUGACUUUUUUUCCUUGUCAUAUAGGCUUCCUAAACUAGUACUACUUACCAUAUGACUUUCUCUUGAUUGUUCCUUUUAAUCCCAUUAAGUCAAAAAUGGCUAAAUUACCUUCUGUCAUCCUGCUCUAAAGAUAGUUUAGAAUUCCUUCUGAGCUCUGCUAAGCUUCUCCUAAGAACUUUGUUCUCCAUAAAACCAGAGACUCUACAAUUAAUUUCAUUGCUGUAUCUACAAACAAGCUGGCUUGCUUUGUAAUAAAGGCUGAAUUCAUCAAAAUAAAGGAGGAAAAAUGGUUCUACUUCGAGCAGUCGCCACCAAGUUAACUCAUCUUGAUUCAACAUAAUUUAUUUUCCUAUCCUUGAUACUAAGAGCAUCUUUUAUUGAGAUAAUUUAGGAUAUUUUUAUUGCUUCUCAGCUUGUUGAGCCAUGUAACUAUUAAACUGGAUGGCUUUAUUAAGUUAUAUAAUGAAUACAAUCAUGUUUCCAUUUUUGAAUGUUAGAUAACCUUGGACUCAGGAAAAUGAAAGAGGUUUUGGUGUAGGGGUAAAGCUAACUCUUAAGUUUGUUGUUUUUUUUUAACCAUUCUCAAACCUUUUAAAAAGUCUGGCUUCUUUAAAACAAAAAAUGUCCUUGGUUAAUUGAGGCUGAAGGAAAAUCAGAGGGUAUUUUUGGAAAAUAUUUGAUAGCUAUUCACAGUAGAAAUUCUAACACUAACUACAACUAUCUGGAUGGAGUGUCUUGUUGAGACACAGCUUCAGGACAUAGCCCUUCAGUAGCUUUUUCACUGGCACAUUAUCACAGUUGUGGAAUAUGGAUUAAUUGGUUUUCUUUCUUCAAGAAAAGAAACAUUACAAAGUAGUUAUAAAUCAGUGCUAUUUAGUAAAUACAAAAGACUGAAAAUACAUUUUUCUUUAAAAGCUGGUAAUCACUUUUACUCCUGAAUUCUUGGUGUAGAUUUGAAAGAUAUUUGGAGCCUAUCUAACAUCCUUUGUAAGAUGUCUGGGACAGUUCUGUACAACUCUGUAAGAGGUUUGACCAAACACUUUGGUCCUCUUAUUAAUCCUUUUAAUCUCCAGUAAAUGGUUUUAGUAAUAAUUAUGAAUGUUUCCAUGCAUAAAUUUCUGCUGUUAAUGGUACUUUGUUCCCCCAAUAAUGAUGUUGCACUCCUUGCAAUAAUAAGACAGUUCAGUGUCUGUUUGAGGAAUAAAGUGCAUCUACAUUACAUAUUUCAGGGAUGUAUUUGUUAGCCGUGUUGGUCUGAGACUAGAAAAAAUGCAAAACUCUAAACUCUUGGUUCAGAGAUGAUACCUUUCAUUAGACAAAGUAAGAAAUCACAAAAAAAUUAUCUUUCUUUGGAAGCUUUUGGGCGCACACACCCUUCUUCAGGCUUAGGGAAAAUUAAAGACGGUAAAAGUCUCCCUAGGUAGACAAACUUCAUUUUGCACAGAGGAAGCUGAAGGUAGAAGUCUGUUCCUCUGGGUCCAUGAGAGUUCCUUUGUGUAACUUGUUCUUUGAUGUGCAGAUAAAGCAGUUUUUCUUCCCUGCUGGUGUCAAAUGGCACGGAAGUGUAGAAAUUUUUCUUUCUUGUUUAGCAGUGAAGUUUAUAAUUCCAAAAUUGGCUAAAAUUUGGCAUCGUCCAUAUUUCAGAGAUGUAUUUGGUAGCUGUGUUGGUCUGAGACAAAUACAAAACUGUAAAACUUUUGUUUCAGAGUGUGCCUGAAAGCUUGCAAAGAAAGAUACUUUUUUGCAAUUUCUUAGUUGGUCUAAUAAAGGAAUAUCAUCUCUGAACCAACAGUGUUAGUUUUGCUUUUCUACAUUACAUAUAAAGCUUGAGGGGAAAAACCCCCUGAAAAAGGAAUAUAUAUUUCACCUAAGUGCUGAGAUUUUCUUAAUUUGGUCAGAUGUUCUAGUUUUUAGUCAGAAGCAGAAGUAUCUGCCCCGUAAUUUAUACAUUUACCAGCUAUUACCUAGAUGUCCCUGUUAUGCCUUCAAUUCAUGCAAAGCCUAAUAGUGGUUGUGCCCCUGUCUUGUAACUUGAGCAAUCCAAACUAAUAGAGGUCAUAUAAUUUCAAGACUUCAGGUUUGAUUAGACUUUGGCAUUUCCUUGGAAGUUUCUUCUGUUGUGUAGUUUUUUAUUAAUUGGAAUGUUGAUCUUUGUCUUUCCUUUGGAAUGAGGUGUAGGCCUUUAAUUCCCAUGUUUUUCACUGCCUGAACUGUAUUGGAGUUCUGUUACAGGGACUACUUCAUUUUUCUUCCUGUUGUGAUGAUAGUAUAAUAGUCCUUUGGUAACUACAACAAUUGGUUACAUGGACAUGUCAUAUUAGGAAAAUACUUAUUUUGUGUAUCUUUUAGUUGCCUAAUGCAAAGCAGGAGGUGGGAGCAAAUGGACAGCACCACCUGACUAGCUAAUUCUCUGUAUGCUAUUCAUAGUCUACAAAGUGUUUGGGAGCUACUAGUAUAAGAAAUGCUGCAGUAAUGCCAUAUUCAGUCCAUGGUAGUGGGUGCUCGCAAUUGUCUUGAGGGAGUUUUGUAGCCAGUGGUGGGUAAAAGCUUUGACAGUUUGGUACUAUGCCUGAAUGAUCCAUGUUAUCAUGACUAGAAAAUAUACUGUGGGCUCCCAAGAGUGACCAGGUCUUGUGCCCUUCGUUGUGGAUGGGCACAGGCACUUCAAUUCAGCAGUUAUGGCAUGUCACAGGCAAGGAGGACCUUCCAGCUGGAUGAAAGGGGCCCUUUUUUGCCUUUGAGAGCAGGAAAUUAACAGAAAACUCUUGAGUGCAAUAGAUUGCAUGUUGUUUUUGAUCUGCUUAUGGAACAGCGGAAACUUAAGUCUUGAAGUAAAUUUUGUCUAAACCUUUUAGACUUUCCUAUAUGGUUUUAAAGAUCCCUGUAUGAUAUGUAUAAAAAUAAAAAUGAAUCUUAUUGUUAUAUUUAUACAAAAGUAGCAACUUAUCAGACUUUUAGUUUACACUGCCCCCUUCUCAAAAAGUGGUAUUUGAAGUACUACAGAGUAUUUUUUCUCUUUUUUGGGUGCAUAUUUAUUUUAGGACUUGGUGUGCAUAUGUAUUUCUAUAUGUGCAAUAAAAGAAAAAUAGACGAAGAAAGCCUUAAAUAAAUGUUUGAGUUGAAACUAGGACUUGUCAGAAAACAAGAAUUCUGUCAUAGAAAAAUCUUGAGCGUUAAACAAAAGAAAGGCAUUUUAGAAAAAAACAAGGAGCAAAGAAUCCCAAAGAGUUGAUAAGAGUGGUGCAGGUACUCAGUUUUGAUAUGGGAAGUCCAAGUUCAAGUCUGUGACUUGAAUCUGACAGUGUUUUAAUUGGUCAGCUUUUGCCAGUCUGAGAUGUCUGUCUUGCUCAUUCUCACUCAGUUUGUCUAAUAAAAGAUAUCACAUCUGCUCAAAGAACCUUGCCUUGCUCAUUCACAUACACUCAUUUUGACCAAAAAUGUAACUGUAGACCCAAGAAACCUUCCUAACAAAAUUGAGUGAAACACUUUCUUUGAAGAUUAAACAAAUCAAUGUUUUGUGAUUAAAAACAUUUUUAUAAAAAAUUUCUCAACUCAAAUUACAAUGUGCUGUUUAAAUAUCAGGUUUUAGAAGGUCCCGGAGAGGGUGGGGAGAGGGAAGGAAAACAUAAUUUAAUUUAUCUUGUUCAACUUCAAGGAAAAAUAAGGUUUAUGACAAAUUAUCAUUUUCCUAUACUGACAAAUAACAUUUAAGGCUUAACGUUUCAAAUUUUAUAAAGUUAAAGUUUCUGGUAACUCUUCUUGGGAGUUUUCUUGAAUAUGGGUCAAAUGCAGUUUUGUUUCAUUUAAAAAAAAAAAAAAAAAAAAAAAAAAGCAACUUCCUUCCUCCCUUCCAAAAUUAGAGUGGUGGAUUAACCCGCAGGGUGUGUGGGAAAGGGGUGGGGACUCUGAAUGAAGGUGUAGGAUGGUGGGUGAAUUCUGCAUAAUAAGCAUUAUGGGAUGACCUCUCCUUUAAAGCUGUUGGGGUGGAUCCAGGAUUUUACAAAGGGCGGGUGGGGUGCAGGAGCAGUGGCCAGCACUGCAGGGGUAGCUACACCCCUGGCUCCCAGCCUCUUCCCCUCCUACCCAUGUGGCCAGAUUCUGCUAUGGGAGCAGCAACCAGGAAUUAACAUUUAAGUCCUGAUGAAGGUAAAAAUUCCACCCCCCUGCCCCCUUCCUCUCCAUGCUUACAAACAUGUUCCCUCCCCUCUUAUUUCUCCCUCUCCCACCUGCCAGUUUUGGUGACCUUGUUGCCCUGGGGCAAUGAGAGCUCCUAUCCUGUUCCAGGUGAGCUGUGUGGGGGUGGGUUCAGCCUGGGACUGCAGCAGUUGGCAGGUGGGUUUCCCUCCCUGGUCCCUUUCCCCCUCCAUGUUCCCUGAGCCCAGAAGGAGGAACACACUCACCUGCUGCAGUUGCUUCUGCUGUUCAGAGUUGAGCCCAGCCCCUGCGCAGUAUGGCUGGAGUGGGAUGGUCAAAGCUUCCCUUGCACUAGGGAUAAUGGGGGCACUGGCAGCAGCAGGUGGGGGGGAUGAGAAUUAGAAAAGAGGGGAGGGAAUGUGCCUCUGAGCACAGAUGGUAUAGGGGAGGAGUGGAAUACUUACCUUCUUUGCAACUUAAAAGUCCCAGGCUGCUACUCCCAUUGCAUGGUAAGAAAGGGGGUGCAGCUAUGCCAGUGCACAUCCUCUGGAUCCACCCUGGGUAUCAUGCUUCAGCUUUGUCCAGCCUCAUCCCAAGCCGAGACCCUGAAUUCCAACAGUGCCUGGUAAUCUGAAUGGUGGUUCCCUUUGCUGGCAAGAAACUCGUACUAUAACUGUCUGGUUGCUCUGCUGUGGUCAGAGGGUGCUCUCCCUAAUUCUGUAAUCAGAUUUGUCUGACCACUCCUACUUCUGUCUUCCUUCCACAGACAGGAGGGAAUUUCCUUUGCAUCUUGGCUCCCAAGCCUGCAGGACCCGAGACAGGGAGUGUGCAGUGGGAGCUUCUGUUCUGGUAACUUGCUGUGGGAGCCUUUAAUGUUUGUGCCCUUUGCAAGUGCAGGUUUUGCAGGAGCUCGUAAUGGUCCUUUUGGCACCGUGCCUCUUGGAUUAGAGGAUCUCUGCUGGAUGACAUGUGGCUUCCUGUGUUUGUCACAGUAGUUGAGCUGUGUGGUUUGGCACAAGCUGAAGUUGAGACUUAGCACAGAGCCAGCCAGCUGUGGGUAGGAUGAAAAUGUUUUGUCCUUCUACACAAGUACAUAAUAAAGAAAAUGACUAUGCUUGAAUAGUUGCUAGUACUCUGCACGGUGGUCAGCAAAGUGACUUUUGUUUUUAGGAUAUGCUUUGCCAUGGUGCAGUGCCUGUAAUGAAUGUUCACUGGAUACCAGAUUUCUUUUUUUUAAGGCUUUUGGUACGCUACUUUCAAGAAAGUCAUAUGUUACCAGUGUUCUGUGUAUUGUGGUUUGACACUUGUGAGUAUGAUUUAGAAACAAAUAUUAUACAUUGUGAAAUAGAAUCACUGGGACAAGCCUGCAUAAAAUAUUUUACGAUGUAAUGCUAAUAUAUCAAAUGUCUUGAUUCCACUGUUCUCCAAGGGCAUGCAAAAUGCACAUUGGUACUCUUGAGUUGUAUGAUGCAGCCAAUUUUUGUUAGUAUUUAAAAUGAAUCCCCACCUCACAAUUAGUUGUAGUUCAUAUCUAUUAACUUUACUGUUUUUGCUUUUAAUAAGAAAGUAUGGCAGCCAUAAUUUCUGUAAUUGUAGGUGUCAAACAAAGUUUCAGUCUUAAGGCAAAUUGUAGGUCCAGGACAGCAUUGCACACUGUUCUUCUGUGUUGUUAUUUUUCAUUCUUUCCAUUUUUUUUUUCUUUUGGAGCAGGGACCUGUACGGUUUUAUAAAACUAUGUACUUCAAGAGUCAGUAUAAUGCUAUAAAAGUUUCUUUCAUUCCCUUUGCUAAAGUGUAUCAAUAAAUGAGAAGCACAUAAUAUGUACAUCACAGAUGCUUUAUAGUGGCAAGUUAGUUGUCAUGUAGCAUGAACACUUGCAAGUGGCAUCAUAAUAAAUUUAAAAUUAUAGGUCAGAGAUGUGUUUAAGACAAAAAAAAAAUACAAGCUAAUAAAUAAAUAUUGGGGAGAGAUGUUUUGAUUUCCAAGUUUUGUUUGUCUUGAUAAUAGAAGCAGCAAGCCAUAUAAAUCCAUUUCAAUAUUCAGCAGCUGCUACUCUGCCUGUUGUCCAAGAAAUUGUGCAGAUUUAUUUGAAACAUGCCAGUAAUCCUCGGGCCUGACAUGUGGCAAAUUACUCUGAAAUGAUGGCGGCAGUAUGUUACCAAUUCAAAGAAAGCUUAAAGCCCUUAUGCCCCACUCCUUUCCUCCACCUCCAUCAGCCCCUAAAAUGAUGAACCAGCAGAAGGCAUGUAAUUGCUACAGUUGUUGCAAGUCAUUCAUCCUCUUAUAAUCGGAUGUCUAGAGAGAGAACAUCUGAACAGAAAAUUUCCUUGAAGAUUGGGAUCUUCUUAUAUGAUUAAAGAUGUUCCACCUGCCUCGCAUUUGAGUGAACAAUUGUCUUCUACAAGAUUCAAACCUGAUUAGAAGUGUAGUAAUCUGAGCAGUCCAUUCUGAACAGAUGUUACUCCACAUUUCUUUAGCUUAUUUAUAAAUAUAUAAUUGAAAAUGUCUUCCAGCAGUUUACAGGUUGAGAAGAUUAAUAUUUAAUUUUGAAAGUGCAUUUUGACAGCAGUAUUAAAAAUUCAUUAAAUAACAAUGAACAUAUUUUCCCUUUGGGCAUUUAUUUUGAUUAUAACAUUCUUUGCAAAUUAAGUUUUUAGAUUUAUUUUAGUAACUUUGGAGUAAUGGGGAGGUUGAAUGUGGGUUAAAAAUAAAAUUGCUGUUAUUUUCUUUAGCAGAAAAAGUAAACUUUGAUUACGUGAAUGAACAUCUAUUUAUACUGGAGCUUUUUUAUAUUUACUCUUACAUACUAGGUUUUAUUUUAAGGCUCAUGAAUGUUAUAAGUAGUGCUUUAGCCCUGAAAUAAAUAAGAAUUUUAUUAAUUUUAUGGGAAUAGGGACAGUUCCUAAGAAGAAGCAUGUUUGACAUCUGUAUAGCAUGAUCAAAUAAGUAGUGUAAAUUACCUCAAGCAGUUGUGAAUGGACUGCAGGCUAGACCUCUCCUACAUGCUGUGUUCUAUAUGAGGACGUGCUCUGAGCAGCAGCUAUUAAUUUCUGCAUUAUUGUGCUGUAAUUUUGCAUUGUACGAUACGAUCCGGGGGUUCUUUCCUAAAAUUCAAGGAGAUAAGUCAGAUGAGUAAUAAUGUCUCCUCUUUGUAAACAUAUAAAAAGUCCACUCUUCAGGGAAUAAACAAAAGUGAGAACUAGAUGUCUGCUACCAUAAACACCUGACAUUCACUGUUCACUGUCCUGUUGAGGACUUAUGAAUUGCGCAUAGUCCCAAGAGACUACCAAUAUUAAGCUGUCGCAAUAACUUCUUUGUUUCCACUCACUAAAGAAAUUAACUUUUCUAUUCAUUUGUAUUUCAUUACAGAAUGCAGUAAUUUGGUUCUUUAUAUAUAAAAAUUAAGGAUAUGCACAGCUGAACAAAUUACAUUGACUUAAUUUUCCCUCCCCCUUUUAUCAUGUCAGCUUUAUGGUAAUUAUUUUGUGCAGUCACUCCCAUCCCACAAAUGUUAAAUUGUAGUAACCUAGCUCUGUUUUGUUCAGCAGCAAGCUGUCCCAUUUUAGCUUUCACUUACUACAAGAAAGAAGCAGACACAUGCAACAGUUACUUCAGAACAGCUGACCCACACUAAGUCUUCCUCCUUUUCCAUUCAACAAGGAGACUGAUCAUCCAUGAUGUCUUGUGGGCUUUCUCUUCCUAUAUCCAAAAAGGAGCCUGUUUGUCUUCUUUACUCUGGUUUGAAUAAGUAAUGCCACUGGAGUUGGUGGAAAAAACAAUGGUAUAAAACACGUACAAGUGAGAAGAAAACCAGGCUCAUGAUAUAUCAGAGAGUCAAGGAAGUAGGGCUGGAAAGGACCCCGAGAGGUCAUCUAGUCCAACCCCCUUGCCUGAGGCAGGAUCAUCCCUAUCCAAACCAUCACAUACAACCAUAAUCUCAACUCUGCAUAAGACCCUAACCUGCCACUGGUAAAGCAGGGGAACUGGGGCAAAGCCACGAUGCACUCUACCAGGCAGACAGGAUGGGGAUGUGGCUAGGUCAGGCAGGACCAAGGGACCUGCCGUGGGCUGGAUAAAAUCCCUUAGUGGACUGGAUUUGGCCCACAGGCCAUAUUUUGCCCACUCCCAGUCUACAACUUCUCUAGACACUGUAUUCCACUACCCCACUAUUCUAACAGUGAAGAAGUUACUUUGGAUAUCCAAUCUAAAUUUACUUUGCUGUAACUUCAAGCCAUUGGUCUGCAUCCUUCUCUCUGCAGCAAGAGAUAAAAGGUGUUUUUCAUCUUCUAUAUGGCAGCCCUUCAAGAAUUUGAAGACUACUGUCAUGUCCCCUCUUAAGUGCCUUUUCCACAAGCUGAACAUACCUAGCUCCUAUCUGUAUUAUCUCAGCUAUUGCAAAAGUUUAAUUGCUCUAGAAGUUCUAUUUGUUAAUUUUGUAACCGCAAAACUAGAGGCAAAACAUACGAAGCAAAAUGUGAUUAUUAUUAUUAUUGCUCAAAUUAUGGGGGGGGGGCAAAAGUCCAGUUUGGAUUAAAUGUUUUGUGCGAUUCUUAUUAAUCCUUUUUUUCAAUAUGGAGUAUGUCAGGACAUUUUUCAGGAUAUGAAUAAAAAAAAUACUGCACUAUG